GAUGAACGCUGGCGGCGUGCCUAAUACAUGCAAGUCGAGCGAACAGACGAGGAGCUUGCUCCUCUGACGUUAGCGGCGGACGGGUGAGUAACACGUGGAUAACCUACCUAUAAGACUGGGAUAACUUCGGGAAACCGGAGCUAAUACCGGAUAAUAUAUUGAACCGCAUGGUUCAAUAGUGAAAGGCGGUUUUGCUGUCACUUAUAGGUGGAUCCGCGCCGCAUUAGCUAGUUGGUAAGGUAACGGCUUACUAAGGCAACGAUGCGUAGCCGACCUGAGAGGGUGAUCGGCCACACUGGAACUGAGACACGGUCCAGACUCCUACGGGAGGCAGCAGUAGGGAAUCUUACGCAAUGGGCGAAAGCCUGACGGAGCAACGCCGCGUGAGUGAUGAAGGUCUUCGGAUCGUAAAACUCUGUUAUUAGGGAAGAACAAAUGUGUAAGUAACUAUGCACGUCUUGACGGUACCUAAUCAGAAAGCCACGGCUAACUACGUG
rnacentral:rRNA from 1 species